rnacentral:rRNA from 1 species
GACGAACGCUGGCGGCGUGCUUAACACAUGCAAGUCGAACGGAAAGGCCCUGCUUUUGUGGGGUGCUCGAGUGGCGAACGGGUGAGUAACACGUGAGUAACCUGCCCUUGACUUUGGGAUAACUUCAGGAAACUGGGGCUAAUACCGGAUAGGAGCUCCUGCUGCAUGGGGGGGGUUGGAAAGUUUCGGCGGUUGGGGAUGGACUCGCGGCUUAUCAGCUUGUUGGUGGGGUAGUGGCUUACCAAGGGUUUGACGGGUAGCCGGCCUGAGAGGGUGACCGGCCACAUUGGGACUGAGAUACGGACCAGAAGGCUACGGGAGGCAGCAGUGGGGAAUAUUGCAGAAUGGGCGGAAGCCUGAUGCAGCAACGCCGCGUGCGGGAUGACGGCCUUCGGGUUGUAAACCGCUUUCGCCUGUGACGAAGCGUGAGUGACGGUAAUGGGUAAAGAAGCACCGGCUAACUACGUG